CAGUAGCCGCGGUAAUACGAAGGGGGCUAGCGUUGCUCGGAAUCACUGGGCGUAAAGGGUGCGUAGGCGGGUCUUUAAGUCAGGGGUGAAAUCCUGGAGCUCAACUCCAGAACUGCCCUUGAUACUGAAGAUCUUGAGUUCGGGAGAGGUGAGUGGAACUGCGAGUGUAGAGGUGAAAUCCGUAGAUAUUCGCAAGAACACCAGUGGCGAAGGCGGCUCACUGGCCCGGUACUGACGCUGAGGCACGAAAGCGUGGGGAGCAAACAGGAUUAGAUACCCCGGUAGUCCCUGUCUCUUAUAC
rnacentral:rRNA from 1 species